rnacentral:rRNA from 1 species
CUGUGGUAAUUCCAGAGCUAAUACAUGCAACCUGUAUACCCUGAUGGUGCCGCUUGGGCGCGUUCGCGCGUGCUCAUGUGUGUGCCUGACGGGUGCUUUUAUUAGACCAAACAUCGCUGGCGGCGCAAGCCGCUAGACUCGUGAUAUGGUGACUCUGGAUAACCUUUUGACAAGCGCACGUACUUCAUUCCUGGAGACGGCGCUGCCACUUUCGAGUGUCUGCCUUAUCAGCUAUCAACCGUUCGUUAUGUGCGACCGAUGGCUUUGACGGGUAACGGGGAAUCAGGGUUCGAUUCCGGAGAGGCAGCCUGAGAAACGGCUACCACGUCCAAGGACGGCAGCAGGCACGCAAAUUACCCAAUCCCAGCACCUGGGGGAGGUAGUGACGAAAUCUAACGAUGCGGGCGCCCAUUCUGGGCCUCGCAAUCGGAAUGAGCAUUUUCUAAACAACCUGUUGAGAACCUACUGAAGGGCAAGUCUGGUGCCAGCAGCCGCGGUAAUUCCAGCUUCAGCAGCAUAUAUUAAAGUUGCUGCGGUUAAAAGGCUCGCAGUUGAAUGUCAGUGUUGGGCGACGGUAAGGUGGACGCUGGAGCAUGAGAACUAAGCGCGCUCGUGCGCAGCGCGGUGGCGCGUGGCGUAUCGCUUCCGCGUGAAACCAUCGCCAUCGUCUGUCGCGGGCGUCUCUCACAAGCUCCCGUCUGUUACAAGCCUCCUCGCUCCAGUACAUGGGUGGUAACUCCUCUCUUCGGAUUGCGUGCGCCUCUGCCGGUCUCGCGAAAGCCGUCUCUCUUCCUCUCGCGCUCGUGCUUGUGCGUGCGCGUGCUUGGGGGUCGUCGGUCUAGCUUGGCGCUAACGGCUCUGGUCGUCGUGCCGGGGAGUGGGUCGCGGUCUUGCUCGCGGGCCAGAGUUCGAGGUGUGUGGGCGCGUGCGUGUGUGCAGGAGCUUCCACGUUCUCUGCCACCGUCGUGUUCCCUCUCGCAUGUCUCUCGCGUCGCGCGCGUCCCUGUGUGUGUGUUGCCGCAUUGUCACCUUGAGUAAAUCAGAGUGCUCAAAGCAGUCGUAAAGGGUUUCGGCCCUGUGAUAAGUCUUGACGGACUGUCUUGAUUUUGCAUGGUAUGUCGGAAAACGACGUCGAGUGCUGGCUAAGAGUCUAUAGAAGUGGUUUCAAGCCAAAGCCUCGACGUAAUGAUUAAAAGGAACGGUCGAGGGCAUUGGUAUUGCGAGGCGAGAGGUGAAAUUCUAUGACCCCCGCAAGACCGCCUGAAGCGAAAGCGUCUGCCAAGGACGUUUUCAUUAAUCAUGAACGAAAGUUAGAGGAUCGAAGGCGAUCAGAUACCGCCCUAGUUCUGACCCUAAACGAUGCCAACCAUCAAUCCGCGUGAGCACCCUUUUUGACGGGCUCGGCGGGCAGCUCUCUUUUCACGGGAAACCAGAGUCUCUGGGUUCCGGGGGGAGUCUGGUUGCAAAGCUGAAACUUAAAGGAAUUGACGGAAAGGCACCACCAGGAGUGGAGCCUGCGGCUUAAUUUGACUCAACACGGGCCAUCUCACCAGGCCAGAACUCUAGCACGAUUGACAGAUUGAGAGCUCUUUCUCGAUUGAGUGGAUGGUGGUGCAUGGCCGUUCUUAGUUGGUGGAGUGAUCUGUCUGGUUAAUUCCGAUAACGAACGAGACUCUCCCCUGCUAACUAGUCGGUUGGAUCUUGUAUUUCGAUGCGAGUCGUGCGCCGGGUUAGCCUUCGUCUCGCGGCGGCGGUGCGAGUCUCCUGUCUUGCGCUGGGUGCGUGCGUUCGUGGGCGUCGUGGCGUGAAAGCGUCGCGGCGUUCGUGGGCGUGUGUGCUUUGGCGUGGGGCGGGCUCUGCCNUUCGUUGCUCGGCGUGUCUGGCUUUCCCGGGUCGUACANUCCAAGUCCUCCGCUUAUGCUAUAAAACUCUUNUUAGAGGGAUCAACGGAUCUGAAGCCGUACGAGACUGAGAGCAAUAACAGGUCUGUGAUGCCCUUAGAUGUUAUGGGCCGCACGCGCGCUACAAUGCCGGGCACAGCAGGUGUUUUCCCUACUCCGAAAGGAGCGGGCAACCCUCUGAAAGCC